AGUGUCAUUCAGCAGUCAGCUAGUCAUCCUGCUAGGCUACAGCCCACUAGGUUCAGUCUUCAGCCUGCUAGACUAGCAUAGAAUCCCACCCCUUUCCUAUACCUGUCCUUCAAAUCAAAACAUGAGUGGAGGUGAAUCCAUAUUAAACAGCGGUAGGGUUCAGCCAGACUGCUGGGUGGAGGUGAAUCCAUAUUAAACAGUGGUAGGGUUCAGCCAGACUGCUGGGUGGAGGUGAAUCCAUAUUAAACAGUGGUAGGGUUAGGCCAGACUGCUGGGUGGAAGUUGAGGUGAAUCCAUAAAGAGGUCCAGAGUUAGGCUAUGUUCUGUUUUCCUUCCUCACCGAGACAGACACGGUUUUAUCCAGUUUAAACUGGACUGAACCGGUCAGUAGAACAGUAAACUAGUGUGACGCAGUUUGGAGCACAGUGAUCCACUUCGAACCAGUCUGAUCUGGUUUGUCUCUAUGAAGCACAGUGACUAACCCAGCUGAGAUCCGGUCGGUAGAUACAGAACUCUGCUGUGGAACCAGAACCAGCCAGGUAGAAUCCUCACAGUUGUAAUCCAAAGGUAACCAGAUAAAUAUACACUGAUAAGCCUAAUAACUAAAACAAGCUUUGAUUGGCUUAUUGAUCAGAAUAGUGAAACAAUACCACAGGUCUGCUACGUAA
rnacentral:lncRNA from 13 species